ACACUUACCUGGCAGGGUGCCAUGAUCAUAAAGGUGGUUUCCCCAGGCUGGGCUUAUCCAUUGAGUUCUAGAUGUGUUGAUCUCUGUGAUUUUCCCAAAUUCAAGAAACUUGACUACAUAAUUUGGAAUAGUUGGGAGACUGAGUUCAAGUCCCCC
ensembl:snRNA U1 U1 spliceosomal RNA